rnacentral:rRNA from 1 species
UGAGCCAAGUUUAGGGUUUUCUCAAAACCCAAGCAGUGUUGAACUGAAGAGUUUGAUCAUGGCUCAGAUUGAACGCUGGCGGCA